UAGGGAAUCUUCGGCAAUGGGGGCAACCCUGACCGAGCAACGCCGCGUGAGUGAAGAAGGUUUUCGGAUCGUAAAGCUCUGUUGUAAGUCAAGAACGGGUGUGAGAGUGGAAAGUUCACACUGUGACGGUAGCUUACCAGAAAGGGACGGCUAACUACGUGCCAGCAGCCGCGGUAAUACGUAGGUCCCGAGCGUUGUCCGGAUUUAUUGGGCGUAAAGCGAGCGCAGGCGGUUUGAUAAGUCUGAAGUUAAAGGCUGUGGCUCAACCAUAGUUCGCUUUGGAAACUGUCAAACUUGAGUGCAGAAGGGGAGAGUGGAAUUCCAUGUGUAGCGGUGAAAUGCGUAGAUAUAUGGAGGAACACCGGUGGCGAAAAGCGGCUCUCUGGUCUGUAACUGACGCUGAGGCUCGAAAGCGUGGGGAGCGAACAGGAUUAGAUACCCUGGUAGUCCACGCCG
rnacentral:rRNA from 1 species